rnacentral:ncRNA from 4 species
AACAGGCUAAUUUGCGCAAGAGAGUACAAAUUGAGUGCGCGGUUUGGCACCUCGAUGUCGGCUUAACUCAUCCACAUGAAUGUAGAAAUCAUGAAGGGUUCGACUGUUCGUCGAUUAAAGAGUUACAUGAGCUGGGUUUAAUACGUCGUGAGACAGUAU